GUGGGGAAUCUUAGACAAUGGGCGCAAGCCUGAUCUAGCCAUGCCGCGUGAGCGAUGAAGGCCUUAGGGUUGUAAAGCUCUUUCGUGGGGGAAGAUAAUGACUGUACCCCAAGAAGAAGCCCCGGCUAACUCCGUUCCAGCAGCCGCGGUAAUACGGAGGGGGCUAGCGUUGUUCGGAAUUACUGGGCGUAAAGCGCACGUAGGCGGACUGGAAAGUCAGGGGUGAAAUCCCGGGGCUCAACGCCGGAACUGCCUUUGAAACUCCCAGUCUUGAGUUCGAGAGAGGUGAGUUGAAUUCCGAGUGUAGAGGUGAAAUUCGUAGAUAUUCGGAGGAACACCAGUGGCGAAGGCGGCUCACUGGCUCGAUACUGACGCUGAGGUGCGAAAGCGUGGGGAGCAAACAGGAUUAGAUACCCGGGUAGUCC
rnacentral:rRNA from 1 species